CCGCGCGAAGGUAGCAUAAUCACUUGUUCUUUAAAUAGGGACUUGUAUCAACGGCACCACGAGGGUUGUACUGUCUCCUUUUUCUAAUCAGUGAAACUAAUCUCCCCGUGAAGAAGCGGGGAUACUACUAUAAGACGAGAAGACCCCAUGGAGCUUUAAACCCAACUACACCCCUAUUUACAACAACUACUUAACCAAUUGGACACUGUAUGCUUGGUUUUAGGUUGGGGCGACCACGGAGUAAAAAAUAACCUCCACGAUAAAUGGGCUUACCCCCUUAUCUAAGAGCCACACCUCUAAGAAUUAAAAUAUUAAUAUAAUAUGAUCCUUUCUUGAUCAACGGACCAAGUUACCCUGGGGAUAACAGCGCAAUCCAUUUCAAGAGCCCCUAUCGACAAAUGGGUUUA
rnacentral:rRNA from 1 species